UUUCCAGACUCCUACGGGAGGCGGCAGUGAGGAAUAUUGGUCAAUGGGAGAGAUCCUGAACCAGCCAAGCCGCGUGAGGGAAGACGGCCCUAUGGGUUGUAAACCUCUUUUGUCGGAGAACAAAACCCGGGACGAGUCCCGGACUGCGUGUAUCCGAAGAAAAAGCAUCGGCUAACUCCGUGCCAGCAGCCGCGGUAAUACGGAGGAUGCGAGCGUUAUCCGGAUUUAUUGGGUUUAAAGGGUGCGUAGGCGGAAUAUCAAGUCAGCGGUAAAAAUUCGGGGCUCAACCCCGUCGUGCCGUUGAAACUGAUGUUCUUGAGUGGGCGAGAAGUAUGCGGAAUGCGUGGUGUAGCGGUGAAAUGCAUAGAUAUCACGCAGAACUCCGAUUGCGAAGGCAGCAUACCGGCGCCCAACUGACGCUGAAGCACGAAAGCGUGGGUAUCGAACAGGAUUAGAUACCCGGGUAC
rnacentral:rRNA from 1 species